rnacentral:rRNA from 1 species
UACAGAGGGUGCAAGCGUUAAUCGGAAUUACUGGGCGUAAAGCGUGCGUAGACGGUCAUGUAAGUCGGGUGUGAAAGCCCCGGGCUCAACCUGGGAAUUGCAUUCGAGACUGCAUGGCUAGGAUGCGGAAGAGGGAAGCGGAAUUUCCGGUGUAGCGGUGAAAUGCGUAGAUAUCGGAAGGAACACCAGUGGCGAAAGCGGCUUCCUGGUCCAGCAUCGACGUUCAGGCACGAAAGCGUGGGUAGCGAACAGG